rnacentral:rRNA from 1 species
AGAGUUUGAUCCUGGCUCAGGAUGAACGCUGGCGGCGUGCCUAACACAUGCUAGUCGAGCGAAGCAAUUAAGAGGAAGUUUUCGGAUGGAAUGUUAAUUGACUGAGCGGCGGACGGGUGAGUAACGCGUGGGUAACCUGCCUCAUACAGGGGGAUAACAGUUAGAAAUGACUGCUAAUACCGCAUAAGCACACAGAACCGCAUGGCUCGGGGUGAAAAGCCGAGACGGUAUGAGAUGGACCCGCGUCUGAUUAGCUAGUUGGAGGGGUAACGGCCCACCAAGGCCACGAUCAGUAGCCGACCUGAGAGGGUGACCGGCCACAUUGGGACUGAGACACGGCCCAAACUCCUACGGGAGGCAGCAGUGGGGGAUAUUGCACAAUGGGGGAAACCCUGAUGCAGCGACGCCGCGUGAGUGAAUAAGUAUUUCGGUAUGUAAAGCUCUAUCAGCAGGGAAGAAAAAAGACGGUACCUGACUAAGAAGCCCCGGCUAACUACGUGCCAGCAGCCGCGGUAAUACGUAGGGGGCAAGCGUUAUCCGGAUUUACUGGGUGUAAAGGGAGCGUAGACGGCAAUACAAGUCGGAAGUGAAAUACCCGGGCUCAACCUGGGAACUGCUUUGGAAACUGUAUGGCUGGAGUGUUGGAGAGGUAAGCGGAAUUCCUAGUGUAGCGGUGAAAUGCGUAGAUAUUAGGAGGAACACCAGUGGCGAAGGCGGCUUACUGGACAGUAACUGACGUUGAGGCUCGAAAGCGUGGGGAGCAAACAGGAUUAGAUACCCUGGUAGUCCACGCUGUAAACG